rnacentral:ncRNA from 1 species
CUUUCGAGCAGCUGCCUUAGAGCGAACCCGUCUCUGUUGCAAAAGAGUGGGAUGACUUGCUAGUAGAGGUAAAAAGCCAACCGAGCUGGGUGAUAGCUGGUUGCCUGUGAAAUGAAUCUUAGUUCUCCCUUAAUUCCUUCCCCCAAGGGCCAUUAGCAACUCAACCCGUCUGUGACGAAUUAAGAGUAAUUUGAAGGGGGUACAGCCCCUUCAAAAAAGAGUACAAUCUCCCCUAGAGGAUAACCCCUCCUACCCUAACUAAACCUGUGGGCCUUCAAGCAGC